UACGUAGGGGGCAAGCGUUGUCCGGAAUUACUGGGCGUAAAGCGUGUGUAGGCGGUCCUGUAAGUCGGGUGUGAAAGCCCAGGGCUCAACCCUGGAAGUGCACUCGAAACUGCAAGGCUAGAGUACCGGAGAGGUUGGUGGAAUUCUCGGUGUAGAGGUGAAAUUCGUAGAUAUCGAGAGGAACACCGGCGGCGAAGGUGGCCAACUGGACGAGUACUGACGCUGAGACACGAAAGCGUGGGGAGCAAACAGG
rnacentral:rRNA from 1 species